UGGGGAAUUUUGGACGAUGGGCGAAAGCCUGAUCCAGCAAUGCCGCGUGCGUGAAGAAGGCCUUCGGGUUGUAAAGCACUUUUGUCCGGAAAGAAAUCCUUGGCUCUAAUACAGUCGGGGGAUGACGGUACCGGAAGAAUAAGCACCGGCUAACUACGUGCCAGCAGCCGCGGUAAUACGUAGGGUGCAAGCGUUAAUCGGAAUUACUGGGCGUAAAGCGUGCGCAGGCGGUUUGCUAAGACCGAUGUGAAAUCCCCGGGCUCAACCUGGGAACUGCAUUGGUGACUGGCAGGCUAGAGUAUGGCAGAGGGGGGUAGAAUUCCACGUGUAGCAGUGAAAUGCGUAGAGAUGUGGAGGAAUACCGAUGGCGAAGGCAGCCCCCUGGGCCAAUACUGACGCUCAUGCACGAAAGCGUGGGGAGCAAAGCAGGAUUAGAUACCCUGGUAGUCCACGCCCUAAAACGAUGUCAACUAGUUGUUGGGGAUUCAUUUCCUUAGUAACGUAGCUAACGCGUGAAGUUGACCGCCUGGGGAGUACGGUCGCAAGAUUAAAACUCAAAUGAAUUGACGGGGUCAUAGCUG
rnacentral:rRNA from 1 species